rnacentral:rRNA from 1 species
AAUGAACGCUGGCGGCAUGCCUAACACAUGCAAGUCGAACGAAGGCUUCGGCCUUAGUGGCGCACGGGUGCGUAACGCGUGGGAAUCUGCCCUUGGGUUCGGAAUAACAGUUAGAAAUGACUGCUAAUACCGGAUGAUGUCGUAAGACCAAAGAUUUAUCGCCCAAGGAUGAGCCCGCGUAGGAUUAGCUAGUUGGCGGGGUAAAGGCCCACCAAGGCGACGAUCCUUAGCUGGUCUGAGAGGAUGAUCAGCCACACUGGGACUGAGACACGGCCCAGACUCCUACGGGAGGCAGCAGUGGGGAAUAUUGGACAAUGGGCGAAAGCCUGAUCCAGCAAUGCCGCGUGAGUGAUGAAGGCCUUAGGGUUGUAAAGCUCUUUUACCCGGGAUGAUAAUGACAGUACCGGGAGAAUAAGCUCCGGCUAACUUCGUGCCAGCCGCCGCCGUAA